rnacentral:rRNA from 1 species
GGGGGGGGCAAGCGUUGUUCGGAAUUACUGGGCGUAAAGGGCUCGUAGGUGGCCAACUAAGUCAGACGUGAAAUCCCUCGGCUUAACCGGGGAACUGCGUCUGAUACUGGAUGGCUUGAGUUUGGGAGAGGGAUGCGGAAUUCCAGGUGUAGCGGUGAAAUGCGUAGAUAUCUGGAGGAACACCGGUGGCGAAGGCGGCAUCCUGGACCAACACUGACACUGAGGAGCGAAAGCCAGGGGAGCAAACGGGAUUAGAUACCCCGGUAGUCCUGGCCCUAAACGAGGAAAUGCUUGGUGUGGCGGGUAUCGAUCCCUGCCGUGCCGAAGCUAACGCAUUAAGCAUUCCGCCUGGGGAGUACGGUCGCAAGGCUG